UACAGAGGGUGCGAGCGUUAAUCGGAAUUACUGGGCGUAAAGGGCGCGUAGGUGGUUUAUUAAGUGAGAUGUGAAAUCCCUGGGCUUAACCUAGGAAUGGCAUCUUAAACUGGUGGACUGGAGUACGGUAGAGGGUAGUGGAAUUUCCGGUGUAGCGGUGAAAUGCGUAGAGAUCGGAAGGAACACCAGUGGCGAAGGCGGCUACCUGGACUGAUACUGACACUGAGGCGCGAGAGCGUGGGGAGCAAACAGG
rnacentral:rRNA from 1 species